GGCGCCGGCGGAAACCAAGAUGGUGCAGAAGACGCGGGUCUUGCUGUGCGUUGCACCUGAAGAGGACGUGAUGCGACGGCGUGCUCGGUUGACUCCCUCGAUCCGGCCGCUCUCAACUAGGUCUGCAUCCCUCCCUCUGUUCCUCUCUCAACCUGAUUCUUAUCGAUCCUGCGAGUCCCCGGAAGCAGACUAUGGCUGUUUUCCCCCCUUCAUUCAUGCUCCCCGCGGGGCACUGUGCUUAGAUGCGAACUUUUGUGUGGACGAUGGCAUCAAGAUUUUGCACAAUGCUCUGCUGAAUUUGUUGCGACUUGCAGAUGUAGGAAAAAUGGACAGUUCUUAUUGGUCUGACAUGGUAUGGACUUGAAUCUUGGCCAAUGGCAAGAGAAAUCAGAGUUUUGCUUUGGUACACAACCCUAUCUUAUUUUUGCAUCUUCAAUCCUGGAUAAUGAUGGAGAGUUGUUUACACUUCUGAAUUGGUCACACGCUUCUUCUCCUUAAAGUUAUUCAGAAUUUCAGAUGGGAUUUGAUGCAUUAGAAUAAUGCAGCAGUCCAAUAAACCUCACUCUUUUGGAAGGUAACCUAACAAGACCAGUAGUAAAAAUUACUGGAGUAACUUGAAUUAAUCAAAGGUUAACAUCAGAUACAUGUAUGUAUAUUCUCUAGAUAUACUAACUGACAAGGAAGAAUGAUCCUGAAUAGUAACUGUAUCCGUGCCCAACCUUCAGUUCAGCAUACCUACCAUCUAACUUAAAACUCAUUUGCCAUGAUACUAAAAGUAUGCAGGAUAGCACCCCCUUUUAACUAUCUGUAUGACGAUCAACUUAAUAUAUACUAUCAAAGUUCCUCGACGGCAGCAACUGAAUUGCUAAAAUCCUAGGCUAACCAACCACCAGGAAGAAUUGAUAGCCUUCAUGGAGGAGCUUUUGUAAAGGUACCCGUGCAAAAUAAUUUGUAUUCUAUGCAGCUCUAAGCAAAUAGACGGACUAACAGGCAGGGUCUCCCACCUGAAGCAACAACAUAUUCCAGCCUCUAGGGAGCUUUGAGGUUUAAGGAUUUAUGGUCUGCGUAUCUGUGGCAACAUAUUUAAUUUUCAUGCAUGCUUGUGUGCUCGAGGAAGUAGUAGAUACCAAUAGGAUUUAGUAGAGAAACUGAAAACCUGCAUGGUUAGUUUGAGUACCAUGAAUUCGUGAUGUCACCUGUGCUUACGGACUAAUAUCCUUUGGUAUUUUAGCCCAUGUCGUUCCUAAGACCAAAAGUAUUAUUUUGGCAUGCAAAAUUGCAAAAUCUCACUUGCAUAAGUAGGAAUCUCCCUGGAAAUUGUCCAUUUUUCUCGGUUCAUGCUCCACUUUGGUAUGCUGUCAAUUUUUCCAGGUCUGUUUUCUUUUGGCUUCAUGGUCAAAUACUCAAAUUCAACCUGUUUUAACUUUUAUUCCGUGUAUUUUUAGGUGCUUGAUGAAGAUUUUUUUUCCUGAAGGUAAACAUUCUAUAUUUUGACGACGCAGCAAAGCGCGCGGGGUCCUUCUGGUGCAACAUGAUAGGCGUUCGGACCACUGAAGAUUGGAGCACCGACACAUGGUUGGACAAUAAUGUUGGCAAGGCUACUGAGAACAUCAAGGCAGAGGGCACUGCGGUAUGGAGGUUCCGGCACAAGAUUGCAUUUGGCGCUGCAAGAGCACCAUGGUUGCAUUCCGCAGAUCGUCAACCGGGAUGUGAAGGCAUGCAACAUCUACUUCAACUGUGCAAUGGAGCCUAGGUUAUCCGAUUUCUGGUUAUCAAAGAUCGUUGGGACUAGCAAUAUGCGGAUAUGCUCCACCAUUCUGCUAGCUAUGCUCUGGCAGAGUUCUCAGAUUCAGAGACCGCUUACAGUUUCAGCAUCGUGCUGUUUGAGCUAAUCAUCGACAAGGAGCCACUGGGUGGCGAGUCCCUUGUGCUUCCUGUUUGUCAGGGAGUAUCAAGGUGUUUUCCUGUCAAGAAAGAUACUAUGUGCUAGAAGAGCGCUGGAAGGAUAAAAAAUGUAUAAAUAAUAUUGUAUAUCAACGAUAAAAAGGUGUGGUUGCCUCCUAAUUUUUGCGAAGUUAUAAUUUAUUGUCGUGAUUGU